rnacentral:lncRNA from 1 species
UGAGAAGAAAAACAAAAACGUUGAACUUUGAACACUUGACUUUAAAGAAAGAAAGUGCAACAACUUACAUAACAUUGGAUAGUAGGGGUAAAAUCAGGUGACGUUACACUACGGAUGAAACCAAACAUCAACAACAAAAAAACAAAAUAACAAAAAAAAAAAUUCACUCCUUUCUCACACUAGCUAGCAAACUUGAACGUAACAAAACACGCAUGAAACAAACUUGAACUAAUAAAGAAAGUAAAAUUUAAUUAUACGAAAGUGACGAAUCUUCAUGGAAGUGGAAGGUUCCCAGCACCACCAGCACCAACACCAGUACCUGCACCACCACCAAUGCCACCACCUAGUCCUCCUAGACCCCCUAGUCCACCACCUAGUCCACCUACUGAACCAAAUCCAGCUCCUCCACCAAUUCCAGUACCAACUCCACCAACGUUGCUACCUACUCCGCUUAUGACUCCGCCAUAAGGCAGGCCAUUGCUACCAAUGCCCCCUAUAACUCCAGCGCCUCCGAAAACAUUCUUUUGGUCAGAAAGACUUUUGUCACUUGGCAAUUCUCUUGCUGCUGUGGUCUGAACCACUACCAAAGCAAGACAAAGGAUAACUAUGGACAACUUACUUGCCAUCACUCCCUCUCUUUCUCACAAUGCCUAAGUCUCUCUCUCUCUUUUCUUUAUCCUACGCCUUUACACUUGAGUGAUGAAGUGGUGGCAUUCCUUGAGUCUGUUUUUAUAGGCUGAAAAUGGGUUGGUGGCCAAUGAAUACAAAAAUUCAAUGGAAUUCAAUGCCUCUGUGUACGUCUUGUAGCCACUGGUUCGUGGAAACCCUUCGGUUUGUUUGACUAAGGGAAAAAAAUGUAUUCCUCAAUUUUAUUUUAUUUUUUGAAAAAUAAGUAAUUUUUAUUUAUUUUCUAUGUUCACUAGGUCAGAAGAAAAUAUUGAUUUAAAAAUAUUUAUAUAUGUUUAUUAUUUUUUUGGUAUAGUUGAAUUUAUUCGUGAGUUAAGAGUAUGCGUUACGGUAGUCUUAGCUUCAAAUUUAGUAGAAAGUGUUUGCAGAAAAGUAAAUAACCUAACUAGAGAUCAAAAUAAUUGAACAAGCAAAGAUUAGGAGCAAAUCAUAUAGCGUAGAACGAAUGUUAGAUUGUAUCAACCAAGAGUACAAACGUGAGCAAGCUCGAGCAUCACAAGGAGAAAGAAGUAAACAACUAAAGGAAAAUGCUAAUGCUUAAUAUAAGGACCAAACCAAAAGAUAGUACUCGGAAUCAAAAUAAGUCAGGAUAUGAAUAAAGUGAUUAAAAUAAGUCAUCUCUUCAAUAAGUUAUCAAAAAUUCAAAAUAGGCUAAACGUAAUAAUUUAUUACGUUUUACCUGUUAAUUUAAUGAUGCUUUAACGGAAAUCUAGCAUAAAACUUUUUUUUUUAAACGUAAAAUUUCUGACAUUUUAAAAAUAUUUUGUAAAAUGUAAGAUAUUCUUAUGUUUUACACAAAAAAUAAACAAAAAAAAGUAUAUUAUCAAAUCAAUCUACAAACACUUUUAUGUCAAAUCUAUGUAAAUUGUAAUAAAAAGUUACAAUUUAUAUAAAUUGUAACUUUUUAUUACAAUUCAUAAAAAAAAAGUUGUGUUGUCAAGUGCUGUGUAAACACCUUUAUUCUCGUGUUCACUUCUUACAUGGAUGAAAGGCUUGAGUAGGCAAGUUUAGGUGAACCUUUAUUGCUAAAUCUUGGUGGUUGGAGGACACUUUGUCAAGUAACUCAAGUUAAAGUGAAGCUAUUUAAAAAUUAGCUAUACAUGAUAACGUGAUUCUGGAAAGCUCUUGGUGCUCUUGCCUAGACUUGCUACCAGAAAUUACAAUCGUUAUGGGAGUAGAAUAUAGGUAAAUAGGUCUAAAACUGAAGGAUUUGUCACGAUCCAAUUUUUCAAGUCGUAUUGGUGCCUACCUUAUUCCACGGUAGACAAGUCAAUUCAUAGCCCGAAAUAAUAUGUAACGGGCUAAUAAGCAAAAAUCAGAAAAUAUCACUUAUACUGAUAGCAAUAGUAAUAACAAGUAAUAAACAGAAAGUAAACAUGUCUUAUUUACUAAAACGAGGAAAGGAAAAUGACCAAAUACAUAAAAGAAUUCCUCCCAAGAUCUGGUAAGGUUGGUACUAGAGCCAAUACUAAAAUAUACCCAGAGUACUAGAUAGAAUAAAAAAUACACCAAUAUAUACAAGCAGUCUCGAGUACAAAAGACUAAACUAGAGUAGAUAGAGAAGGAUCAGCCUCGGACGACAGUAUGCUCACCCUGCUCCGAAUCAGUACUGGAAGGUAGGAAUCACGUCAAUGUCGGCUGCUACUACUCGGAUCUGCAUUAGGGAAAAGAUGCAGAAGUGUAGUAUGAGCAUCAAAGCAACGGGUACUUAGUAGGCACCAUCGAUCGACUGAGCUCAAAACAGAAACAGUAUAACUUCAAUGCAAGGAUGUAAUCUAGGUCAAAAGUAAAAAGGGACAGAACGGUAAACAACUGCCAAGCUAUGCCGAUAAGAUCAAGGAACAAAUGUAGGCAAUACAGAAAAUAAAUAACGCAAUAAUUAUAGAUAAAUCAAACAUAACCUAACUGGGGCCCCAUAAGGCCGCCAGGCACACAAACAUAACCUAACUGGGCCCCCAUAAGCCCACUCGGCACACUGAAGAAGAUAAUUAACCCAACCACACCCCCAUAAGCCGGUGGGACACACAAGUAGCAAUGAAAGAAAAUAAACAUAAAUAAUUUGUAACUGAGCCAAUCCCAAGAAAUCAUGAUAGUCAUCCAGAUGUGCACCAAACUUGAAUCGACACCAAUGUGUAGUAACGAAAGGCCAGAUACUGAACCCGAACUGGUAAUGAUGGAUAAUAACAAGAGGACACGUGCCGGAUUCGAACCGAACAUAGUGGGUAAUAAUGAUAGGCCACAUAUAUAAUAUACACCAAAACUCAUAAUUAAAUGUCGAACUCGAACUGAAACUCAAAAGAACCACAACCAUAAUCAGAUGUCGGACUUGAACCGGAACUAUAAGCAUAAUUAGAUGUCGAACUCGAACCGAAACUCAUUGGAACCACAAUAAUCAAAUGUCGGGCUCGAACCAGAAUUCAUAGUAACCAUAAUAAUCAAAUACCGGACUCGAACCUGAACUAAUAGUAACCAUACCCAACUGUAAUAUUAAAAUCCAUACCAUAUCAAAACAAUGUCAAUGUGGUACAAAAAUUCACAAUCAUUGACAGAAAUAAAGUAUAUGUUGAACCUGAACAGAAGCUAAAAAUACAUCUAAUUAUCAUAUGCAUGUCUUAAUUCUUAAGGGGCAAAUUCAUGGUUUUGUAAUUUAAUUCCACGUUUUAAAGUGAUAUAUGCUAUAUUAUAUUGAAAGAUAAAAUACCAAAAUCUACAAAACAGGGUCUUAAUCCGGUUAAAUAAGAUAUGUUAUAUAUACAAAUAAUACGCAACUACAAGCAUUUAUCCAAAGCUAUCAUAAUAGUUCACAAUCUCAGUAUAUAAGCUCAAUCUAAAGGUAAGGUAAGUCUAGCCUGCCUGAACGCCAAAAUUAAAAAUAUCUUUCCGUAAAACCUCUGAAUAAUGUCACUAGAACCCAAACUUGAAUACAUAAAAUCAAAAUAUUUCGUAUGAACUCUCACAUUUCUAACACAAUUACAUAUAAUUUAUAGUGAUUUGAAAUUAAUCCCGGUAAAAUAAGGAAAUACCCCAAAUUAGCCACUAGUAAUAUAUAUAUAGAGAGAGGUAUACACCGACAAAAGUACAUAAUGUUUGUUUGAAUUAUAUUUCGAUACACAUGUAAGAAAAUUACACAUAUAAGACUUAAUGUUUGCCAUGUGUGUGACUACUCAAGGUUGUGCACUACACUUAGACUUCCACGUGGAGAGGUGUACCAACCCUUCUCCUUACUCUCCCCUAUAUUUAUACUCAGGCAUUGCAUAAGUUCAUGAAAAAAUAAUUAUAAUAUUUUAAAUAUAUUAUAAUUAAUAGAAAAAUAUUUUAUAUAAAAUCUCUAUUAUAUAAUAAUAAUAUGUUAAUAUUUCUAGAUUUAUUAUUUUCACUUAAAAUAUUAAUAGACCACUAAAGAGCGAUUAUAAAUAAUAUAAAUAGAGCAUAAAGUAAUAAACUUUAUUAAUGUCAAAAAUAUUUUAGAAGGGUACUAAAUUAUAUUUUUACCAAAUGACAAUUUAAAUCAAAUAUUUCAUAAUAUAUUAAAUAUUACUAAAAUUCUGAAACAAACUGCAUCGGAACUGAACUAUCAGUCCCAGCAAGUCAAAAAUAAUUUGGGAAAGUUAUAGAAAAUAUAUGGAUACCGAAAAUGUAUUAAAAUAUAGAAAAAUGACCGUGAGGGUCAUUACAACAUCCACUACUAAACGGACUUUCGUCUGCGACAGUAAAGCAUAAGGGCAUACCUAAUGGCUCAAACAAAUAGGGAUACUGACCGCGCAUAUCAAGCUUAGGGGGGAAGGCCAGAUAGGCCUGUCAAAAAUAUAUCAAAAAUCUUGCAAACCACAGGGAUGGAGUCAAGCGAUAGAAUCUCAGCACUGACAUCCAAAACAUAAGCAAGAAAUGAGUUAUAACCCCUCGAUAUCAGCCUCCUAGCUUGAUUGCAGGAAAUAAUUCCCAUCGUUGCGUGACACCGCCUGCCACACCACCAGGGGUAUGCCAAGCUAGGCUGAAGUAAUGGUCCUAACAAAAUAAUCGAAGAUCACAUGAUAAGGAGAUAACUAAUCCAUGCAUAUAAUCACAUCGAAAUCUACCAUAUCUAGGACAAUGAGAUCAACCUGAGUAUGAAACUUCCGAAUGGUCACCAAACACGAUCUAUAUACCUGAUCCACUACUAAAGAAUCACCCACAGGGAUGGCUAUAUACAAUGGAACAGAUAAAGACUCCAAAUAUGAACCCGACUGCGAUGCAAAAUAAGCAGAAACAUAUGAAAAUGUGGAAUCAAGAUCAAUCAAAGCAGAAGCUAGUUGAUAGAAUACAGAAAUUAUAUCUGUGAUCACAAUAUCCAAAGCCUCAGCCUCAGAUCUACCUGGUACAACACAUAAAUGACCAUGUCCACUAUUGGAUUGGAUGCCUGCUCGACCACCUAUCCUACCUCCAUGCGGGCCACCUCUAAAACCCUGGGGACCAUCCCCAUGACCUUGCGCACCACUUCUACCUAAUUACGGCACUGAUCCAACCGACUGUGUGGUUAAAAUAAAAAGUUCAACCAUUAUACGCUUAGGAAACUCAUGAUCGAGGCAACUCAUAAAUCUACAGUCAUAACAUGCCUCAGGCACCAUGCUCUAUCCUUUCCCUGCCUCUAGGUCGACCUCGACCCAUAGUUGAAACUCUAAAAGUAGACCUGAGGUCCCAAUCCCCAGCUCUCGAACCUCGCAUCCUAGACAUAUUCGUAAAAAGUGCACCAAUAAAAAUUACAACCAACUCAGACCUAACACACAAAAAUGGAUCAACAAAAUGAGAGUUUUGUUUCUUCCUAAAUAUACUAUGUAGCCUCCCAAAGAUAGGAUACAAGUAUCUCCGUAUCGAUCCGCAGGACUUUACUAAACAUUGGCUCUAGUACCUACAGUAACGGUGAAACCUAGGCUCUGAUACCAAGCUGUCACGACCCAAUUUCUCAAGUUGAAAUGGCGCCUACCUUAUCCCCCCAGUAGGCAAGCCAAGACAUAGCCCAGAAUAAUAUAUAACGAGCUAAUAGGCAGAAAUCAGAAAAGAUCACUUAUAAUAAUAGCAAUAGUAAUAACAAGUAAUAAACAAAAAGUAAACAUGUCUCAUAUACUAAAAUAAGGGAAGAAAACUGACCAAAUACACAAAAGAAUCCCUCCCAAGACCUGGUAAGGUUGAAACUAGAGCUAAUACUAAAAUAUACCCAGAGUAUUAGAGUGAAUCCAAAAUACACCAAAUAUAUAUAAGCCAUCUCGAGUAUAAAAGACUAAACUAGAGUAUAUAGAGAAAGGUCAGCCUUGGAUAACAGUAAGCUCACCCUGCUCCGAAUCAGUACUGGAAGGUAGGAAUCACGUCAAUGUCGGCUGCUACUACUCAGAUCUGCAUCAGGGAAAAGAUUCAGAAGUGUAGUAUGAGUACCAAAUCAAUGUGUACUCAUUAGGAAUCAUCGACUGGCUAAGGUCAAUACAAAAACGGUAUAACUACAAUGAAGGGAUUUAAUCUUAGUCAACAGUAAAAAGGGACAGAAAGGUAAACAACUGCCAAGCUACGCCAAUGAGAUAAAGGAAUAAAUGUAAGGGAUGCAGAAAAAUAGCGCAAUAAUUACAGAUAAAUCAAACAUAAACUAACUGGGCCCCCAAAAUCCCGCUAGGCACACAAAUAUAACAUAAUUGGUCCCCCAUAAGCUCGCUAUGCACACUGAAUAAAAUAAUUAACCCAACUGCAUCCCCAUAGCCCAAUGGGACACAUAAGUACAAAUUAAAGAAAAUAAACGUAAAUAAUCUGUAACUGAGCCAAUCCCAAGAAAUCAUGAUAGUCAUCUAGAUGUGCAUCAGACUUGAAUCGACACCAAUAUGUAGUAAUAAGAGGCCAGAUACCGGACUCAAACUGGUAGUGAUGAAUUAUAACAAGAGAACAUAUGCCGAAUUCAAACUAGACAUAGUGGGUAAUAACGAUUGGCCACAUAUAUAAUAUACACCAGAACUCAUAAUCAGAUGCCGGACUCGAACCGAAACUCAAAGACACCACAUCUAUAUCAAAUGCCGGACUCAAAUCGGAACUCAAAGGAACUAACACUAUAAUCAGAUACUAAACUGGAACCAAAACUCAUAGGAACCACAAUAAUCAAAUGUUAGACUCGAACCAGAACUCAUAGUAGCCAUAAUAAUCAUAUGCCGGACUCAAACUAGAACUAGUAGUUACCAUACCCAAUUGUAAUAUUAAAAUCCAUACCAUACCAUAACAAUGUCAAUGUGGUACAAAAGUUCACAAUCAAUGACAAAAAUAAAGUAUAUAUUAAACCUGAACAGAAGUUAAAAUACGUCUAAUUACCGUAUGCAUGUCUUAAUUCUAAAAAGGCAAAUAUAAGAUUUUGCAAUUUAAUUCCACGUCCUAAAGUGAUAGAUACUAUAUUAUAUUGAAUGAAAAAUACCAAAAUCUACUAGAACGAGGUUCUAAUGCGGAUAAAUAAAACAUGUUAUAUAUAUCAAAUGAUGCUCAACUACAAGCACUUAUCAAAAGAUAUCAUAAUAGUUCACAAUUUUAGUAUACAAGCUCAAUCUAAAGGUAAGGUAAUCCUAGCCUACCUGAAUGCCAAAGAUAAAAAUAUCUUUCCGUGAAGCCUCCGAAGAGUGUCACUAAAACCCGAGCUUGAAUACAUAAAAUCAAAAUUUUUCGUAUGAACUCUCAUAUUUUUAACACAAUUACAUAUAAUUUAUAGUGAUUUGAAAUUCAUCCCAGUAAAGUAAGGAAAUCCCCCAAAUUAGCCACUAGUAUUCUAUAUAUAUGUAUGUAUAUAGGGACAAAAGCAUAUAAUGUUUAUUUGAAUUAUAUUUUGAUACACAUGUGUGAUACCCCGUAUUCUUUCUAUUUAAAUUCAGCAUAAAAAAGGCACAUUAGAGACUUAGGACCUGAAAUUGUUUCCAAGUGUUGAAGACUUAGUCUCACUUUUGGCCGCUAAACUUUGACGACUUUAUUCUUGAGCUUUACGAUCUUGGAAUGUUGAUUUCUAAGUUUUUUCAUGAUCAGGGUAGUCCAUAGUACCUCUGAGGUGAGUUUCAGAAUUUUUGGAGAAGGAUUGGGGCAUGUUUGGUUGGCCAAAACAGAAGCUUGAUGCAAUAUCGCUGCACCACAUCAAUGGCCACGUCGAUGUAGAUGACGCAAUGUGUUGCUAAUCGCGUUGCAGUGAGUGACACAAUGAGUUGCUGAUCACGUCGGUGCCCAAUUUUUGUAUGUGAAAUGACGGGUUAUGGGGGUAUUUGAGUCAUUUACCCUCACCCAAAUUCGCCCAAAACACUCAAUUUUAUCCCCAAAUAACAUAGAUGGUUCAUUAUUCAUUUUUUCUCCAAGAACAAAACCCUAGAUCCAAGAAUCAAGAACAAUCCCAUAACUCCUACUCCAAGAAAGCUUAUAAUCUAAAGUUUUGGGUUCAAGGACUUCAAUAAGAACCUCCCUACUAGUAAAGCUUUACAGAAUAGUUUUUAAAAGAAUUCCCUAUAGAAUAGAGUAAUUGUAAUAGAAAAGAACAAAAGAAAAGCUCUUAGAAACUAAGUGUAAAGGCUCAUGAUUUUAAUCAGAUAUUGUUUUGCAUAAGUCAUCAGCUAUGAGAUUUCAGCUUUUAGUUUAUAGAUACAAAGGUGAGUCCCUUUACACUUAACUUAAAUGAUUUAAAAUGGACUUGACUUCAGUUCUACUUAUUUCACUAGCAGGAAGAGUAAAAGUACAGCUUUCAGAACUAAAUAUUAUGACUCACUGAUUUAUGCAGUAUGUUUUGCUAUCCAUGGUUAUGAUUUUUUUAGUUUUUAGAUAUUCCAACUUAUGUGAGUCAUCUUCAUUUAGCAUGUAUAUUUUAUGGAGUUUUAUAACAUUUAGAUAUUAUUUUUACUUAUGCAUUCACCCCCACAUGCUCAGUUCAUUUCAAAAGUACUGAUCCACAUAUAUGUCUAUGUGCUACAUUAUCUCAUAAUGUAGGUUCAGGUGCUUAAUUUUAGCAACGUGAUUGAACGUGACCAUCUCCAUCUUCAUCCCGACAAUGGUGAGUCCUCAUAGUUUGGGGACCCAGUUAUUCAGAUUUCCAACUUUUUAGCUUAGUUUAUUAGUUAUGUUAGACAGUUCGAGUCAAUUGGGGGUCUGUCCCAGCGACUCUCUAGUAGUAGCAUUAGAGGCUUGUGUGAAUGUUAAAUAAAUUGCAGUUUUUCAGUGUUAGUUCUUUAGAUUUUUUCUUAGUUAAGUACUUUCAGACAUUUCAUACAGUUAAACUUAGUUCAGCUAUUAUUUUAGUAUUUUAGUGUACUACAUGCUUAUAUUACCUUUAUUUGAGUCAUCAGAAUGAGUAGCAGGUUUUCAAGGUAAGCUCGGGACUAUUUGUAGUUCGGAGCACUAUGUAGAAUCUCGGGACUCAUUUUCAAAGCAUUAAAAACUUGGUAUCAGAGCCUAAGGUUAUAUGAGUUCUAGGGAGUCAGACAAGCCACGUUACGUAGGCUCUUGAUUAUGGGUGUGAAGCGCACCACAUUUACGAGCAAGAGGCUAAAAGAUGUUUUUAGAAAAUCAUCUCUUUCUUUCAUGAUCUAUCAUGCUUAUAGUGUCUCUAUAUGCUUUUAUCUUGUACUCUUACAUAACAGUUGAAAAUGCCUCCUCGCCGAGCUAAUGUACACAAAAAUGAUAAUUAGCUACCUCAGCCUGCUAACUCUCUGAAUGAGAAUGUAUCCCAUACUGAAUUUUGGGCUGCCUUUUAGGCAUUGGCCUAAGCUGUUACUGCUAAUAUUCAGGGAAACCAUCAGGCGACAGUCCCACUUUAGCAGAAUGGGGAUUUAGCAACAGCCAGAAUUCAUGACUUCAUGAGGAUGAAUUAGCCUGAGUUUUUGGGGUCAAAGACAGGUGAGGACCCGCAACUUUACUUAGAUGAGGUGAGAAAGAUCACCCAAAUUAUGCAUGUUACUAAAGAGGAGAGUGUAGAGUUGACAUCCUAUAGGCUGAAGGAUAUAGCGUAUGAUUGGGUGGUUAUGUGGAAGAAUAAUAGAGGUGAGAAUGCAGCUCCUUUGAGUUGGCAGGUGUUCCAGGAUGAGUUUCUAGACAGGUUCUUUCCACGUGAAAUGAGAGAAGCUAAGGAAGAAGAGUUUGUGAACCUGAGGCAGGGCUCGAUGACAGUGAAGGAGUACUACCUUAAGUUCAAUUAGUUAUCUAAGUAUGCCCCUAAUACGAUGGUAGACCCUAUGUCUAUUAUUAGUAAGUUUGUUACUGGAGUAUCUGGUUUGGUAGUCAAGAAGUGUAGGACUACCAUGCUUAUUGGGGAUAUGGAUCUUGCUAGACUGAUGAUUCAUACACAACAACUUGAGAAAGAAAAGUUAAUAAAGAGAGAGAGGGGAAAUUAGAAGGCUAGAACCGAGCAGUUUGAUUAUGGCUAGACUAAGUUUGGAGAGGAAAAUCGUUCCCAAUUUUAGAGUCAUUCGUCUAUGCCAACGCCUUCUUCAGCUAGUGCUCCCUCCCCUGGACUAUGUAGGAGCAGUGGGGUAAGAUUUCUAUGUCCAGAUCUUAGAAUAGUAUGAGUGGAAAAUCCAGUUAUCCUCCAUGUGCUAAGUGUGGUAAGAAUCAUCUUAGUGAGUGCUAUUUGGGACAAAAAGGCUGUUAUAGUUGUGGUAAGUUGUGUCAUGAAAUCAAAGAGUGUCCGUAUGCUAGUAGGGAAAUAGGGAUGCUCAUCCCCAGACUCAGCCUACUAGUGCACCAACUCCUCUAGGCUGUCCAGUAGCUCCUCAGAUCACAUCAUCCAGUACCAGUAGCGAUCAGUGCCAGAACAAUUUUUAUGCUUUACCAUCCCAUCAAGAGAAGGAAAGUUUGCUCGAUGUUAUUAUUGGUAUACUUCAUGUCUUUCAUCUUGAUGUUUAUGUGUUAUAGAUCCCAGGUCGAGUUUCUCUUACGUAACCCCACUAGUUGCAGUAAAUUUUGAAGUAGGUCUUGAAAGUUUUCUGAGCCCUUCUUGGUUUUUUCCCUAAUGGGUGAGUCAGUUGUUGCCAAAUAGAUCUAUAGAAAGUGUCCUAUCAAUGUCCUUCAUAAGAUCAUGUUAGCAGACUUAAUAGAGUUAGAUGUGGUCAACUUUGACCUUAUUCUUGGUAUGGAUUAGCUCUAUUCCUAUUAUGCAUCUAUAGAUUGUCGUACCCGAGUGGUGAAGUUUCAAUUUUUGAUGAGCUAAUUUUUGAAUGGAAAGGUAAUUCAGUGUCUCCCAAAAGUCAUUUUAUAUCCUAUCAUAAGGCCAGAAAGUUGAUCUCAAAAGGGUGCAUCUAUCAUCUAGUUAUACUUAAAGACACUAGGACUAAGGCUCCAAUAGUUCAGUCGGUCCAUGUAGUCAAUGAGUUUCUUGAAGUUUUUCUCACAGAUUUGCCAGGGGUACCUCCCGAUAGGGAAAUACAAUUCGGUAUUGACCUCUUCCUAGAUACUCAGCCUAUCUCUAUUCCUCCAUAUCGUAUGGCUCCAGCCGAGCUUAAAAAAUUAAAAGAGAAGCUUAAGACCUCUUAGAUAAGGUUUCAUAAGGCCUAGUAUCCCUCUACGGGGCACUCCCAUCCUAUUCAUACGAAAGAAAGAUGGUUCUUUGCGAAUAUGCAUUGACUAUAGUCAGCUGAAUAAAGUCAUAAUAAAGAACAAGUAUCCUUUUUCUAGGAUUGAUGACUUAUUUGAUUAACUCCAAGGUGCAAGUUACUUCUCCAAUAUAGACCUUACAUCCGGCUAUCAUCAGCUUAGAGUAAGGGAAUAUGAUAUUCUAAAGACAACUUUUAGAACCCAUUAUAGUCUUUUUGAAUUUUUAGUCAUGUACUUUAGACUAAAAAAUACCCCAGCAACCUUCACAGACUUAAUGAACAGAGUGUUCAAACAGUACCUAGACACGUUUGUCAUAGUCUUUAUCUGUAAUAUCCCGUAUUUUCCUGCUAGAAUUCUAACUGUCAUUCCUGCGCGUCUAAGCUCUAAUCCAAGUGAUUCUCACAUAAAUACAAGUUUCAUGAUCAUUAUCCUAGUCUAUGGAGUAGUUUAGAGGUGGAAAAUGUUUAUAGCAAUGACCUAGAACAAGGUUGAGCUAAGACUAAUUGAUUCAUCCAAAGUUUGACAUUUGAUUCUACAAGGGUCAACUUCAAACGUGAAUAUCUCUUAAUAUACAUGAAUUUUCAUCCCAAGACCUAUCAAAUUAUAGAUAAUUGAAUUAACUUUCCAACGAUACCAAUUUCAUCAAAAUUCGACACCCGAGUAAGGAGUUAUGGCUUUACGAAGUAGAGUACGUCGCCUAACUAAUUGCACAUGGCUACUGGAAUAGGUGUGCAAUAAGCAAUGUGACGCAUACUUAAAUAUGUGCGAUAAGCAAUGCGGCGCUUACUUAAAUAUGUGCGAUAAGCAAUGCGGCGCAUACUUAAAUUUGUGCGAUAAGCAAUGCGGCGUAUACUUAAAUGUGUGCGAUAAGCAAUACAGUGCAUACUUAAAUGUAUGCGAUAAGCAAUGAGCCGCAUACCUCACUUCCAAGUGCCAAAAACACCCCUAUAUAUGUCUAUAACAUGGGAUUAAACUCCCAUAACACCAAAAUAAGUUUACUUUCUCUCAAAUCACCAAGAACAUUCAUUAGGGUUUCAACCUAAAAAUUCAAAUAUCUCAACAUUCAACUAUGAGUUUUCAAUAAUUCUUCGAGAUUUGAAAUCCUCAUUCCGAGGGCUACAAGAAACACUCAUUAUUUUUACGAAUAGAGUCCCAAGGUCAAGAGUUGAUUCAAAUCUUCAAGUUUAAGGUAUGUGGAGUUUUUCAACAAGAACAUCCUUUCAUUUUUGUGCCCAAAAUUUAUAUUAUUUUACAUAUAUAUAUAUAUAUAUAUAUAUAUGAUUUUACAUGCUUUGAUAUGAAUUUAAGAUAGAAACUAUUAUCCUACAUUCUUGUUCAAAAGACUAUUAUAUUUUUAUGAUGCCUUGAAGAUAAAUUCCUUGAGUUUUGAUGUUAAUAGCAUGUUUGAAGUUGAAUCUCCAGAUUUUCAUAUAUAUAAUGUGGUAUGCACACCUUAAGAUUUGAAUGAUUUGACUUUUUGGUCUUGAAAGAGUUAUUUUUGAACUCGAAUGAGAAAAGAAAUCCACAUUUUGAUUUAUUAUGAAAAAAGGGUAGCAUGAUGGCUGCCGUGGUGAAUUGCUGAUUUAUUUUAUGGCUGAUUUUCUUUGAAAAGAUCUGAGCUAAGUCUGGGAGUAUUCUUUAGCACCGAGUGGGAGGUAUAGUUGUGCUGGUACUUUCCUAGAACUACGUGCCCCCUAGGAGCCGGAAUUGAGGUUGAUUAUAUAUAGUGAUCACUAGUUUUUGGAUUUGAUACUUAUAGUCCUACUCCAAUGGCAAGGAUAGGAGGAUUCUCCCUAACGUGGGUUGUACGUUGGACUCUAUGUGGCUCACAUGGUUUAUGUCGGUUGUAAGAGACUCCCAAUGUGUGUAUGUGUAUUCUCCUAUCUAAUAUGAAAAGUGUUAUUCUUCUAUCUGAGAUAAAAACAUAUUUGUUUGAAAGACUGAGUUUGAGAAAGUCAUUGUUUUCGAAAGAUUUAAUGAACAUAUAUUCCAAAGAGAAUUGUUAUGAGAUUUGAUUACUUUGAUGAUUUGGAAUCGAGAUGGAAGUGAAUUGAGAUUUAUUAUGAUGACUCACAUGUUUCACCCGAUAUAUUUUACUCUCUUAUGAUUAUGAUGAUUUUAAUUCAAGCUAAUUGAGUCAUUUAUAUCAGCAUGCAUAAUUUUAUAAACUGUGAUGAUAUUAAGAUAUUAUUUUAUAUAUGCAUUGCACCCCCAUAUGAUUGGUACGUUUCCAUGGUACUGACCCACAUAUUUGUAUGUGGGCUACAUUUUCUCAGAAUGUAGGUACAAGGUAUAGUUUACAUCUUCAGAUCCAGUCAGUUCGCGACAUUUUGAUUCAAGGGCUUGAGUUAGUUAUACAUUUCGAGAAGUGUUGUAUUUUCCUUAUCCAUCCGUAUUGAGUUGGGAUAGUCAGGAGUCAUGACCUAGCUACCUACAAUCAGUACUAGUAGAGGCUUCAUAGACAGUCAGUAGAAGUUGAUGUAUUCCGUUUCAGUUUUGAUUGUAAAAGCAGAGUUGUAAUCUUAUAAAUUUAGUUUUGUAUCUAUUAUAUUUAGAAAAGAGUUAUUUUUCGCAGAUUUGUAUAGAUUUAUACUUUUUGUUCAGUUGCUUAUGAUUUAUGCCAGUAGAAGGGUUAGCUUGGGGUCACUUGUGAUCCUAAGUACCGUGUGACGUCUCGGGACCCGAUUUUGAGGCGUUACAUUAUCAAUAAUAUUUUCGUCUAUUCUCGUAGUGAGGAUGAUCACGCAGACCAUCUUAGAAUUAGGUUGCAAACUCUUAGAGAUUACUAAUUGUUUGCCAAAUUCAGCAAAUGUGAAUUUUGGCUAAGGUCAGUAGUUUUCCUUGUUCAUAUUAUUUCCAGUGAGGGCAUUAGAAUUGAUCCCAAAAAGAAAGAAGCAGUAAGAAACUGACCUAAACGUAUCUCUCCAUCCUCCAUUAGAAGUUUCUUAGGUUUAACUGGCUAUUACAGAUGAUUUAUUGAAGGGUUUUCGUCCAUUUAAUCCCCUAUGUCUAGAUUAACUCAGAAGAAAGUUAAGUUCCAGUGGUCAGAUUCCUAUGAGAAGAGUUUUCAAGAGUUGAAGACUCAACUCACUUCGGGUUCAGUUUUAACACUACCUGAUGGUACAGAUAAAUUUAUUGUAUAUUAUAAUACUUCCAGGAUCGGUCUGCGUUGUGUUUUGAUGUAUAGAGGUAAGGUUAUAGCCUUUACCUCUAGAAAACUUAAGCCUUACAAAAAUAAUUACCCUACCCAUGACCUUGAGUUAGCUGUUGUUGUACUUGCCUUGAAAAUAUUGAGGUACUAUCUUUAUGGGAUGCAUGUUGAUGUGUUUAAGGACCACAAAAGCUUACAGUAUGGGUUUACCCAGAGAGAGUUAAAUAUUUGUCAGAGAAGAUGGUUAGAAUUAUUGAAAGAUUAUAACAUGAGUAUGUUAUAUCAUCCGGGUAAGGCUAAUGUUAUGGAAGAUGACCUUAGUCGACUUUUUGUAGACAGCGUUUCUCAUGUGGAGAAUGAUAAAAGAGAACUAGUUUGGGAAGUUCACCGAUUAGCUAGAUUGAGUGUGAGGUUGGUUGACUCAGCUGAAGGGAAUGUUUGGUUUUAGAGUAGUUCAGAAUCUUCUCUAGUUUCUGAAGUGAAAGAGAAGCAGGGCAGGGAUUCUAGUUUGGUCAAACUGAAGGGGUCAAUUAAAGACCAAAAGGUAGAGGUUUUCUCCUAAGAGGGAGAUGUUGUGUUAAGAUACUAAAGUAGAUUGUGUGUGCCAUGUGUUGAUGAUUUGAGGCAGUGAAUUAUGAUAGAAUCGCAUGGUGCGCGUUACUCCAUUUAUCCAGGAGCCACCAAGAUGUACCACGACUUGUGGGAAGUAUAUUAGUGAAGCGGUAUGAAGAGAGGUAUCACAAAAUUUUUAGCCAAGUGUGAGACUUGUCCAUAGGUUAAGGUAGAUCACCAAAGACCUGGUGACAUAUUGCAGGAGUUUAGUAUUCCCAUUUGGAAGUGGGAAGAGGUGAAUAUGGACUUUGUGACUGGAUUGUCCCAUUCACGUCGGCUGCAUGAUUCGAAUUGGGUUAUAGUAGAUAGAUUGACCAAAUUAGCUUAUUUCUUGCCAGUUCACACGUCCUACACAGCUGAAGAUUACGCUAAGCUGUAUAUCAGAGAGUUGGUCAGAUUGCAUAAAAUUUCUUUGUCUAUUAUCUCACAUAGGGGUACUUAGUUUACCUCUCAGUUUUGGAAAUCCUUUCAGAAGGGUCUUCGUACCCAAGUUCAUCUUAGUUCAGCUUUUUACCCGCAGACAGAUGGUCAGGCAAAAGGACCAUUCAGACCUUAGAGGAUAUGUUAAGGGCAUGCGUUCUUAAUUUCAAAGGUAGUUGGGAUGACCACUUACCGUUGAUUGAGUUUUCCUAUAACACCAGUUACCAUUCUAGUAUUCAGAUGGCCCCGUUUGAAGCUCUAUAUGGGCGAAGAUGUAGGUCACCAGUCGGUUGGUUUGAAGUGGGUAAGGCCAUUUUGAUUGGUCCAGAUAUGGUGUUUGAAGCUAUGGAGAAAUUUUAGUCUUUUCAAAAGAGAUUGAAAGCGACUCAGAGUCAUCAAAAAUCUUAUGCAUACGUAAAAAGGAGAGAUCUUGAGUUGAGAUUGAUGAUCUUGUUUAUUUGAAGGUUUCACCCAUGAAGGGGGUAAAGAGAUUUGGCAAAAAAAGGGAAGAUUAUUCCCUGGUAUGUAGGUCCCUACAGGAUUUUGAGUCGUGUGAUGAAGGUAGCGUAUGAGCUUGAGCUACCCACAGACUUAUCAUCAGUUCACUCAGUAUUCUAUGUAUCCUUAUUGAAAAAGUGCAUGGGAGAUUCAGCGGUUAUAGUCCCUCUAGAAAGCACAGAUAUUCAAAAUAGAAUCUCGUACGAAGAACUUCCAGUAGAUCACCAAAUUCGUAGACUAAGGAUCAAACAAUUUCCCUUGGUCAAAGUUCUGUGGAUAAAUCAGUCUGUUCAGGGUGCCACUUGGGAAGCAGAAGUAGACAUGAGAACGAAGUACCCUCACCUAUUCUCCACAAACUCAGAUUCAGCCGAAGGUAACAAUCUUUCUUAAUUCAGUUCAUUUCUAGUCUCAGUUUCAUCCAUAUGGUUAUCUUUAAGUCAAUUCAUGCACUCACAGAUUGGUUCAGUAGCUCAUCAUGUUUUAGAUUCAGUCGUACAUUUUUGGUUUCAGUUGUGCAUGCAGUAUAUAGUCUCAGUUCUCCAGUAUCAUCAUUUUAACUAGUCUCAUUCGAGGAUGAAUGUUAUCAAGGGGGAGAUAUUGUAAUACCACGUAUUCUUUCUAGUUCAAUUCUGCUUAAAAGAGGCACAUUAGAGACUUAUGACCUGAAAUUUUAGCUAAGUGUUGAAGACUUAGUCUCACUUUUGGCCUCUAAAUUUUGACGAAUUUAUUCUCGACCUUUCCAAUCUUGGAAUGCCAAUUUCUAAUUUGUUUCAUGAUCAGGGUAUUCCAUAGUACCUCCGGGGUGAGUUUCAAAAUUUUCAGAAAAGGAUUGGGGCAUGUUUGGUUGGCCAAAACAGAAACUCAAUGCGAUAUCGCCGUGCUGCAUCGAUUUAGACGAUGCGACUCAUCGCUAAUCGUAUCGCAGUGAGUGACGCGAUGCGUUGCUGAUUGCAUCGGUGCCUAAUUUUUGUGUGUUAAAUAAUGGGUUAUGAGGGGUAUUUGAGUCAUUUACCCUCACCCAAAUUCACCCAAAACACACAAUUUUAGCUCCAAAUAGCAUAGAUGCUUCAUUAUUCAUCUUUUUCUUCUCCAAGAACAAAACCCUAGCUCCAAGAUUCAAGAACAAUCCCGUAACUCUUACUCCAAGAAAGCUUAUAAUCCAAAGUUCUGGGUUCAAGAACUUCAAGAAGAACCUCCCUAAUAGUAAAGCUUUACAGAACAAUUUUUAAAAGAAUCCCCUCCAGAACAGAGUAAUUGUAAUAGAAAAGAACAACAGGAAAGCUUUUAGAAACUAAGUGUAAUGGCUCACAAUUUUAAUCAGAUAUUGUUUUUCAUAAGUCAUUAGCUAUGAGAUUUCAGCUUUUAGUUUACAGAUACAAAGGUGAGUCCCUUUACACUUAACUUAAAUGAUUUGAAAAUGGACUUGACUUCAGUCCUACUUAUUUCACUAGCAGAAAGAGUAAAAGUACAGCUUUCAGAAUUAAAUGUUAUGACUCACUAGAUUUAUGCAGUAUGUUUUGUCAUCCAUGGUUAUUUUUUUUUAGUUUUCAGAUAUUUUAGCUUAUGUGAGUCAUCUACAUUUAGCAUGCAUAUUUUGUGGAGUUUGAUAACAUUGAAAUAUUAUUUCUACUUAUACAUUCACGCCCACAUGCUCAAUACAUUUCAAAAGUACUGAUCCAUAUAUUUGUUUAUGUGCUACAUUGCCUCAUAAUGUAGGUUCAGGUGCUCAAUUCCUGCAGCGUGAUUGACUGUGAGCAUCUCUAUCUACAUCCCGACAGUGGUGAGUCCUCAUAGUUUGAGGAUCCAGUUAUUCAUAUUUCCAGCUUAGAUUAUUUAGUUAUGUCAGAUAGUUCGAGUCAGCUGAGGGUCUGUCCCAGCGACUCUCUAGUAGUAGCAUUAGAGGCUUGUCCGACUAUUAGAUACAUUACCGUUUUUUAGUGUUAGAGAUUUUUUCAUAGUUAAGUACUUUCAGACAUUUCAUGCAGUUAAACUCAAUUCAGUUCUGACAGUAUUUCAGUAUUUUAGUGUACCGCAUGCUUAUAUUAUCUUUAUUUGAGUCAUCAGAAUGAGUAGCUGGCUUUCAGGGUUAGCUCGGGACUACUUGUAAUCCAGAGCACCAUAUAGCAUCCCGCGACUCGUUUUCGAGGCAUCACACAUGUAAGAAAAUUACACAUAUAAGACUUAAUGUUUGCUGUGUGUGACCAAUUAAGGUUGUGCACUACGCUUGACUUCCACGUGGAGAGGUGUACCAACCCUUCUCCUUACUCUCCGCUAUAUUUACACUCGGGUAUUGCAUAAGUUUGUGAUAAAAUAAUUAUAAUAAUUUGAAUAUAUAUCACAAUUAAUAGAAAAUAUUUCUAAUAGAUCUUCUAUUAUAUAAUAAUAAUAUUUUAACAUUUUUAGAUUUAUUAUCUUCGCUUAUAUUAUUAAUAAACCACUAAAGAACGAGUAUAAGUAAUAUAAAUAUUGUAUAAAGUAAUAAACUUUAUCAAUAUCAAAAAUAUUUUAGAAGGGUACUAAAUUAUAAUUUUACCAAAUGACAAUUUAAAUCAAAUAUUCCACAAUAUAUUUAAUAUUACUAAAAUUAUGAAACGAACCGCUUGAAAACCGAACUAUCAGUUCCAGCAAAUCAUAAAUAACUUGGGACAGCUAUAGAAAAUCUCUCAAUACCAAAAAUAUAUUAAAAUACAAAAAAAUGACCGUGAGGGUCAUUACAGGAUUAUACUUCUGAAGUGAUUCAUUAUUUUGGUUUAACCUUGAUAUAAAACUUGCAGCAGGUUUUUAUUAUUAAAAUCUUCUGAUACUUCCGUUAUACCAUCUUGAUGAAGUCACCUACAUAAGGAAAAAGUUUUAUUGUUCAUAAUUCUGCAUGUUUCUUUUUGCUAAUAACCAGGACAAGUCAUGGCACGUUCGACACAUGGUUUCUAAUUAGUUGUACGAAUUCUAUCGGAUUCCUAGUCCUAAGCUUGCUAUUCAGCAUAUUCUAAGCUAAACUUGACAACAUACUACUUUUUUUAAAAAAAAAAAAUAAUAAAAAGUUACAAUUUAUAUAAAUUAUAACUUUUUAUUACAAUACACUAGUUUUAUAUUUAUUUUUUUUGUGUAAAACGUAAGAAUUUCUUACGUUGUACAAAAUAUUUUAUAAAACGUAAGAAAUUCUUACGUUUUACAAAAAAAAAAUUACUAUAGAUUUUCGUUAAAGCACCGUUAGAAAAACAGGUAAAAUACAAUAAAUUAUUACGUUUAGCUUAUUUUGGUAACUUAUUGGAGAGGUAACUUAUUUUGGUCACUUUAUCCAUAUCUUGGCUUAUUUUGGUUUCGAGUUUGUAAAGAUAUUUUAUUGCUUAAAAGUUAAGGAUGACCUAAAUAAGAUCCUUUUCAAUGGGGGAGGUGGUAUCGAUUUUUAGAGUACAAAAGUUGUCAUGACCAAUAAAUGAUUGCCACCCGUCCAAUGUCGUUGGGGAGCAAUGUGUCCACUAGCGUGUGUCAACGCGGCUCUGUCGAGGGCAACUGGUGUUUUCUAGAAUCCUUGACAUAUUGUCCUUUCAUUUGUACAUUAGUAUGUACUCACCAUCCCUAGCUAGUCUCAAACGCCCUCACCUUUCACUCAAGUGUACGCUCCAGCGCAUUGAUAUCGUCUCCGAGAUGGUGCCAUUAUGAGCCGACUUCACUCACCUGGCAAAAAAUGACUCAAUCGGACCAAUCAACCCAAACACACCCUAUGCCAGUUUUACUACAUACAAAUAGUCCCUCAAUCUUACGGGUGCAACAUUCAUUGCGGUUGGAAGACAGAACAAAUUUCUAAAGCGCCUUCUACAUUUCAUCUCCCCGAUUCAUUCCUUUUUUAUGAAAUAUCACAUUAUUUGAACCUUUAAAGCUUCCACCUUUCAAGUGAUGUCUCUCCUUUUUACACGCGUACUUCAGAGAUAAGGCGAUGUUUUCCUUGGGGAUUGUACUGAUCGUGACGUUUCAUAAUUGAGUUACAAUUCGUCUCUCUUUAUGGUGCCUGCACAUAUCAAAUGUAUUUAUCAAAAACUUCCUACUUACCUUUUUUUCCUUCUAUCAGACCUUCUCUCAAAAAAGAAAAAUUCUCCAGGACGCUCCUAACUAUAAUUUACCCCCCUCACAUAUUGCUGUCAUGUCUCACUCUUUAAGUUCUCAUCUUCUUCCUUCAACUUCAAAUAGUUUGUCUAGUGUCCAAAAAGAUGGCGGGUUCCCUUUUGACUCCACUAUGGAGAAAAUACCACUAAUGAUUUUGAGGCUCCUUUAAGAAAGAAAAGGAUACCAGGACCGUUGAGGGGAUUUCUUUUGUGGUUUAUUUGUCAUAUAUCUACUCUGUUCGUUCGACGUACUGAUGGUCCCCUAAUUUCAAUACUAAAGUUCCUUAUAUCAUGGAGAGGGUCGCUACCCAUAGACCUGACUUUAUUUUCAUGUACACGUUGUCGUUUUUCUUGGGAUUGGGUGAUCCCAUAGAUGACGGUUUCAUUUCAUUUGGCCCCACUUUCCAGCUAAGCUUGGGGCAACUUAGUUCUUGCCUAUAGAAAUUUGUUGCCUGCCUCAUGAUCCUGGCUAACUUAUCUGGCGCGUAGUUCACAUUCGCGAACCUCAUCUUGCUUUUUCUUCGAGGUUAACUCGAGAGGGUUUAGUAGAACCAGAGCCCACAACCCAUGUCCAUUCUAGGCUACUUGAGCGACUCCCCAGAAGUUUUGUGGUCGUUUCUACUGAGGAGUUGCCUGGAGUGACAAUCACUUUUACUUGGAAUGUGGCCUUUAAGUUCGUCACCUCACAUUUCUUCAAUUAUUAUUCAUUAAUGUUCGCUUCACUCACCUAGCCUUAUAUCUUUCUAGUGGCGUCCACCAACGAAUGUAAUCCUUACUCUAACUGGGACUUUCAGAGAACGGGUCUCGAGGAUCUUAUCGUUGGGAAGAACGUGAAAUUGGUCCACCUUAUUCCUCUUUUCAUAACUUGGCUUGCUUUCUCGAUAUUCUCAAUCAUAGUUAGGGAUUUUUCCUCCUUUUAUCUUCUUUUAUUUUUAUUUAACUCGUUCUUAUCUUUCAUUUCUUUCGCAAGUCCUAUAUUAAAAGAGGAUCUGAUUGUGUUCUCGUCAAUCAUUUAAAUUCUCCCGUACUUGAGAGACCCCAUGCCCUACCCACGCCUUAGCUUUCGGAGGUGAUCCUGAUCACCCGAGCGACUACUAGUAUAGUAAAAUGCUUCCGAGGUCCAAUCAGAGUUCUUACCCUUUGAUAGGGAAAUGAUCAGCCACAGAGUGGUGAUGAUAUAUGACUCAGAUGAGGUACAUUCUGAGCCUCCCAAGAUUCAAAUGGACGAUCCGUGCUAGGGGAACUUUAAUUCAUCCUAAGGAUGCAUCCGUUAUUGGUCCAAAGACUAUUUAGGGUCUUCCCCCAUUCUCUUGCAUCGUUCGCCCAGUGGGAGCCUCACUUCAGAAACCGUUCUAGCCUAGGACCCCAUACUUUCGUGAAUGACCCAGACAUGUUUACCGGUUAUUUUUUAGAUCCAAUGGGUGAGCCAUUAAUAUCUUAGAAAGUUUGUCUGUCCAUUCCCUCAGAUGUAAAUUUCUUGUCUAGGCCGGCCCGAGUACCCAAUCAUUGGUCUCUCCUGGUGAUAAAAGAAGUUAGAUGUUGUUCCAGUUGAAUGCCUAGCAAUCGAGAGUGUCCAUGCCUCAGCGCAGGUAAACAAACUUUUCUUCUUCAAUUUUAUGUAACAAUUGCCCCUUCUUAUAUUGUUCCACAUUUUCCCACAUUCUAGGACAACUUCUUGGCUGUGGAUAACCUGCAAUUGCAGCAAAAAGAAUGGAGUACAAUGGAGACGUGUUGUACUAUGCUAUAGAUUUGAGGCCUACUAAGUGACCAACCCUAGUUGGUUGAGUCCCUUUUACACACUAAUUCUGAGGUUGAUGCCCUCAAGCUAUAGAUUGAAGAUGUUAAACAAGAGAGGGAGACCUUUCAGAAGAUGGCCCAGUAAAGGCGUGUCGACAUUGAGAGAUUGGAUCAGGAGCGUACAGUGCAUUUUGGAUGAUUGGGGGCUACUUUAUUGAUAGGGCGAGUUACAAGUAGAGCUUCAUAGGGAACUCUAAGGAUCCUCCCCCAAUCCUUCGAACGAGGUUGGUCUGUUACAUCCUAUCGAGGUGCUGGAUUAUUUUGAGCUUCAUCGGCUUUGGAAGAAGAUUUGCUUGCACAUGACCGCAACUCAAAUGGCAGGAUCUUUCCAUUAAUGGGCUUCUCGUAUACUCCUCGCAUGAUAGUACUCAUUUCAAAACUACCCUUUCUGGAGUCAUGGCCUACUUCCCUGCAAAGUAAAACACAAAAGAAAACUGGAAAGAAAGAAAAAGCUAAAAAUCCACACAGUUGCUUUGGCCCCAUUGUGGGCGCCAAACUAUUUACCAUUUUUUUUGUACAAUUGAAAUUGUUCAUGAGUCAAGAGCACGUGUGUAAGACCCUGCAAAGUUUCCUCGUAGUCUAAGCCUUUAGAGCACCUUAUUUCACCUUUAAAAGAUUAAGAAAUGACUUCCAAAGUGAUUAGUGUUUAAACCAUAUUGAAUUUUCCUAAUUUUGACUUUAUAUCACAUGGGAAAUUGAAUUAUCUUUUCAACGAUACCCAUUUCAUCAAAAUUCGAUGUUGGGGUAGAAAGUUAUGGCCGAAUUACAGAAAGCAGUCUGAACCGCCCAGGUGUGAUGGAAAGGGCCGACGGACUGUCGAGCUAGCGAUGGGCCGUCGCCCAAACCGUCACAGCGGAGGUAGUGAGUCCAUCUUCUGGCCAGGUGCGACGAAAUGGCCGACGGACCGUCAAGCUAGCAACGGACCAUCGCCCAAGCCGUCGCAACUAAGACAGAAAGAUCACGUUCUGGCCCGGGUGUGACGGUCAGGCUAACAGACCAUCGAGCUAGUGACGGAUUGUCGUACGAGGCGUCACAGAUUUCGUUCAGUAUUUUAAAGCUGUUUUAAAAAGGGCUUUUUGGUCUAUUUCCACCCUUUUCACAUCUAAAUACAUCAUAUUCAAGGCACAAACGUUAUAUUCCUUCCUAACAUUAAAAAAAACUAGGGUUUUCUCUCAAGAUUAACCCUCAAGAGCGAAUUCAAAUCUUUCUCCAAGAACCUUAAGAUUCCACCAUAGUUUCUACAAAUUGAGUUAAGAUUCAAGGUUCCCAAGUCAAAAGCUUCAAGAACCCUCACUCAAACAUACAAGAAAUAGUCUCAAGCAAGCUUAUUCAUCUACAAGUCAUAAUCUGAGGUAUGUGGGGUUUGAACAAAGGUAACCCUUUCACCCUUGUGCCCAAAGGCUUAUUUUAAAUUACUAAAUUUCAGCAAUUUAUGAGAUUUUUCAUGAAAUUAAGUUAGGGUUCAUACCCACUUUCAUUAUUUGUAAGAUUGUGAGAUUUCCCAUGGAUUAAAAGUUGAAUUACAUGAUUUUAUUUAUAUUUUCAUGCCUAUUGAUGAAAUUUACAGAUUCUAAGAUACUUUAUGAGUAAUUGCAUUACCAAGAAUGAAUUUUGAGAUAUUUGACUUGAGAUUACUGUUUGGGUCAAUAGACCCCUUUUAAAGAUUGUUGUUCAAGAUUGUUUGGGUCAUAAAUACCCCAUAGUUAAGCUAUUUUCAGAUUUUAGUUAAAGAUUUGACCUUUUGGGUCUAAGCUAAGGGAUCCAUAUUAAUUAUGACUUAAAGUCAAGAGAAGUAUAUUUGAUCUUUAUUAUAGACCCUUGAAUUAUUUUAAGGUGGAUUUCCUAAAAGUUCUGAGCUUAAGUAUGAGAGUAGUAUUUAGCAUCGAGUUGGGUAUAAUUCCAAGGUCUCAUGCCCCAGAACUACGUGCCCCCAUAGGUUUUUGAUAUACCCCAAGUGGGUUAAGAUAGUGAUCACUAAAGUUAAGGUUCUAUUUCGAUGGCAAGGGUAGAGCAGCUCUUUCCAACGUGGGCAAGACGUUGGACUCCAUGUGGCUCACAUAGUUUAUAUCGGUUAGAAUAUACUCCCAAAACAGUCCCCUACUCUAAUUAAGAUAAAAGUUUAUAUGUUGAAAGUUUGAUUUUGAGGUUCCCAAAGUCAUAAAAUCUCUAAGUUUUAAAGAAGUCCCUUAUCCCUUAUUCCCCAUAAGAUAAAAGUACAAGUUUUGAAAGCUACUAUUUUUAAGAUUUCUCUUGCUUACAAGUUUUGAGAAUAAGAUGGAGAAUACAGAUUUUAGAACUAAGUGUAAUGACUCACUAGAUUUGUACUAUAUGCUUCAAUAUACAUGAUUUAUGAGAUUCAGAUUUCAGUUUUACUCAAGCUAUGCGAGUCAUUCAUAUCAGUAUGCAUAUUUUAUAAAGAAUGAUAACACUGUUUACUUAAAUGCAGACACCCCCAUAUACUCCGUACAUCCUCAAAGUAUUGAUCCACAUAUACGUCUGUGUGCUACAUUGUCUCAUAAUGUAGGUUCAGGUGCUUAGUGCCAGCAGUGACAGUGAUUCCUAAGUACCUUUGUCUACACUCCACAGUUAGUGAGUCCUCAUGGUUCGAGGACCUAUUGCUCAGAUUUUCAGUUGUUAUUGCUUUCAGUUUAGUCGAGUCAGUUGGGGGUUUGUCCCAAUGACUCUCUAGUUCUUGAUUAGUAGAGGCUUUGUCAGACUAAAUUAUCAGUACGUUUAGACUUUCAGUAUUUUGAUUGUUCAGACAAGUAUUUCUUCGGAUUCCCUUUAUGAUUAUGAUAUGACAGUACCAUCGUUUUACUUUAUUCAUCUCAAAGUAAGUUUUAUAUGUAGUAGCAGGCUCAAAGGGGUAGCUUGGGGCUACUUGUAGACUUAAGCACCGUGUGACAUUCUGGGAUGAGAUUUCGGAGCGUUAUAACGUGUUACGGUCUUAUCUUUUGAUUUAAUAGUAAAUAUUUGCAGAAAAUCAAAUAACGUAACGAGAGAUCAAAAUGAACUAAACAAGCAGAUUAAGAGCAAAUCUUAUAGCGUAGGCCGAGUGUUAAAUUGUAUCAGCCAAGAGUAAGAAUGUGACCUAUAAGAUUUGCUAAUGCUUAAGGAGAAAACUAAGACUAUUUUAUUAAGGGUAAGCAUAAGCAAAAAUAAGAUCCUUAACAAUGGGAUCCUUAACAAUGGGGGAGAGGGUAUCUAUUUAUAGGGUGGAAAUGUUUCGCAUUGUCAAUAAAGGGAUUACCAUCCGUCCUAAUGUCAUUGGGAGCAACCAGCCCACUAGCAUGUGUCAGACGCGUCUCUGUUGAGGGCAAGUGGUGCUUCCUGAAAUACCUGACACAUUGUCCUUCCGUUUGUUUGUUGGUAUGCAGUCACUAUCUUUGGCUAGUCUCAAGCGCCCUUACCCUUUGGCGGAGUGCAAGCUCCAGCGUAUUGACAUCGUCCGAGAGAUGGUGUCAUUGUGGGCCGACUUUGCUCGCUGGGCCCAAAAUGACUCAAUCGGCCCAAUUGGCCCAAACACACGCUAAGCCAUUUCUAUCCUAUAGAAUAAUAUAUAAUUUAAACAAAUAUUAUCUGACUAAAAAGUGAUAGUGGGAGGUGAAAAUUAAUGUGGAUUACCAGUUAUGAAAUUUGUUUAGUCAUUUAUUUGAUCUUGAAGAACGUUUUUUUUCUUAGAAAAGUGUGUUUUUUCAAAGAGUCUAACCAAUCAGAACAUUUUGAGAAGAAUAUCUUCUUCCAUUCUAAAUACAUCUUUGUCCAUAUGUUUUUUUAAAUCUUUUAUACUUUUGGAUACCCUUACCAAAAUACAAUUAACAUUUUUAAUUAUAAAAGUAUUUAUAUAAACUACUGUUUUUUCUUGAUUCACUUAAUUAAAACUCCACUAUUACAAACAGUAAAGGUGAUGUAAAAAAUAAUAAUAGUAAUAAAUACUUCAUAAUUUUUUAAAAAAUAUCAUCUAUUUUGUAACAAAUUAAUUUUUUUAAAGCAAUAUUACUUAGGGUGGAAAUGAAUGUUUUAUAAAGCACAUAUAAUAAAUUCUUUUUCCUUUCUUGGGUCAUGUUUCAGAAAUUGUAUGUAUAGGUAGGUCAAAAGGAAGCGUUGUAUUAAAUAGAGACAGUCAAUUAGUCAUUACUGAGCUACCGGCAAAUGGACCCUCUGUCUGGAACCUAGCUACACUGAUACAGCAAUGCUAAUGAAUGAAAUAUUUACACUAGUGAGGUAUGCCAAGUCAUAUGUAUGUUCAAAAAUUAUUACUUGACAUUGUAAGGUGAACCACCACAUAAUCUCACACCACGUCUUUUAUUAUUCUUCGCAUUCUUUUUACUUCUUCUUUUAGUUUUCAUCAAUUUUGAAAUUAAUUGUACUAUGUGCAGGUUAAAGUUCUUUAGGAUCCUUUUGGCCAUAAAAAAACGGUGUUUUUGAAAAAAAUCUUGGCAAAAGUUAUUUGAACACACAAUUUGUUAUUCUUUUCACAUAAAUGUUUGGCAAAAAGCACCAGUUUCCAAAAUCUAAAAAAAAAAUGGGGGCCAAUUCUAAUUUUUGGAUAUUUUUAGAAAUUUAAAUUUUUUGUCAAAUUCUUAUAUUUUAUAAGAAAAUCCAGUAAUUCUUCUCACUUGGUGAACUAAUGAAAAUGUGUGCAUUUAUGUAUAUAGGUCAAGUUAUUAAUGCUUAGAGCUUAUUCUUUUUGGUAAACGAGAGAAUAUAUAUAUAUAUAUGUAUAUAUAUAUAUAUAUAUAACAACUAAGAGGGAUUACAAUGAGAAGCACAGCUUGUAGCAGUGUUAAAAUUAUGAUAGUUAUUACAAACCAUACUACUUAUACUAGGUUUAGCAUUAAAAGGGACAUGUAGACUAGUACUGAUAGCUUCAUUCCUAAAACAUAAAAGCAUAUUAAACAUAGACCAAGUAAUUAUUCUACUAGAUAGGACUCCACUAGCAUCCCGUUGGGGCUGAACAACAACUUGAACUGGUGGAGAAAACAAAAUAUGGUCAUUGCCCGGAUGUGGUAGAUGUGAACCCAAUCUUGACAAAAUGUUGGCAACUUGGUUUGCUUCAUGAAAACUGUGUUGUACCACUGGAUUCCCCAUGUUCUUCAAUAUUAACCUGCAAUUUGAGAUAAUAUCAGUAAAGGGAAAGCAUAGGUUUUGAAGUAGAUAGAGGAUUUCCAGUGAACUAGUUUCAAUAAUAAGAGGGAAGAAAUUCAUGUUUUUAGCUAGAGUUAGGCCAUGAAGAAACCUUUCAACUCAACCAUAGUAUGACAAUGGCUGAAACUUUUAUUGUAAAAACCUGCUUUCCAAGCAUCCGUGGAGUCCCGAAUGCUGCCUCCAAAUCCACAAAGAUUAUUAGUGGUAAAAAAAGAGCCAUCAAUGCUCAGCUUAAAAUGGUGAGCAGGGGGAGGGAACCAUCGAACAUUAAUACUAAUAGUGUCCGUGUGAUUAGUCCGAGCAGUAGCAUAGGUGCUAUAUUCCUGAAUUUUUUCAUGGAUCAUAGUUACAUUUGGGAAACCACAUUUUUUAAGAAAAACAUUAUUAUUCCUAAAAUAAUAAUAUACCAAAUAUUAUUAUUCCUAAAAUUCAAAUAUACCAAAGUGCAAAAGGAAGAAAAACUUGUUGGGUUCAAGGUGUAUAUGUGAAUGAAAAAUGGUGGAGGGAAGAGAGACACCAUUUUAGAAAGUGUACUCUCAAAUUGGAAAGUCUACUCUUUUUAAAGGAAAGUUCACUAAUUCUCCCACAUUGGUGGGAGAAGAGAACUUGUAAGUGUUUAUAAUGAGAAACACUAACUCCUCAUAGAUAGUGAGGCAAGAACAAGGUGGUGCCUCGUGCCGUCAUUGCUCGACUCAGCUUCGGAUGAGAUCUAAUUUUUUAGAUAAAAUUUAUUUGAAAUUUGUUUACAAGUGAAAUUUUUAAUCCAAAAUCUGAUAGUAUUAUUGUUCUCUAUAUGCGGGCGUAUUUUUGACGCCAUGCAGACGCAUACACAAUGCAUCAUGAAGGGAUGCGACCCUUCGAGGGAAAAGGCACACUGUUUCGCACUGUAGAGUGACCUGCGAGCGCAAACGCAGCGCAGGUACACGACCUGUGGGCGCAGAUAUAGCACAGAAGUUACUGAAAUAUGCCAAACGUUACUUGUGGCCGCAGAACAGGCGCAUGUCCAGCACAGACUGGGUGCAGGGAUGUGACUGCUGCUGAAAAAGUAUCUUUCUACUGAACCAAUACAUCCAUUCUAAAAGGAUACAUUAAAGGCUAUAAAUACCUAAUAUAAUGUAAUACCCCGUAUUUUCGUGCUAGAAUUUUAACCGUCGUUCCUGCGCGUCUAAGCUCUAAUCCAAGUGAUUCUCGCGUGAAUACAAGUUGUAUGAUCAUUAUCCUAGUCUAUGGAGUAGUUUAGAGGUGGAAAAUUUUUAUAGCAAUGACCUAGAACAAGGUUGAGCUAAGACCAAUUGAUUCAUCCAAAGUUUGACAUUUGAUUCUACAAGGGUCAACUUCAAACGUGAAUAUCUCUUAAUAUACAUGGAGUUUUUCAUCUCAAGACCUAUCAAAUUUUAGAUAAUUGAAUUAUCUUUCCAAUGAUACCAAUUUCGCAAAAAUCCGAUACCCGAACAAAGAGUUAUACCCAUUUUCGUGAGAGGCAGUAAGGGUGUGCGAUGGGCAAUGUGCCGCCCAAUCAAAUGUGUGUGAUUGGAAGUCCGAGGCACACUUAAAUGUCUGCCAUUUUCGUGAGAGGCAGUAAGGGUGUGUGAAGGGCAAUGCACCUCCCAAUCAAAUGUGUCCGAUUGGGAGUGCGAGGCACACUUAAAUGUCUGCCAUAAGGUGUGCGACGCACACCUUAAGGUCUGCCAUGGGUUGUGCACCGCAUACCUCACUUCCAAGUGCCAAAAACACCCCUAUAUAUGUAUAUAACACGAGAUUAAACUCCCAUAACACCAAAAUAAGUUUACUUUCUCUCAAAAUCACCAAGAACAUUCAUUAGGGUUUCAUCCUAAAAAUUCAAAUAUCUUAAGAUUCAACGGUAAGUUUUCAAUAAUUCUUCGAGAUUUGGAAUCCCUAUUCCGAGGGCUACAAGAAACACUCAUUAUUUUCACGAAUAGAUUCUCAAGGUCAAGAGUUCAUUCAAAGCUUCAAGUUUAAGGUAUGUGGGGUUUUUCAACAAGAACACUCUUNNNNNNNNNNNNNNNNNNNNNNNNNNNNNNNNNNNNNNNNNNNNNNNNNNNNNNNNNNNNNNNNNNNNNNNNNNNNNNNNNNNNNNNNNNNNNNNNNNNNNNNNNNNNNNNNNNNNNNNNNNNNNNNNNNNNNNNNNNNNNNNNNNNNNNNNNNNNNNNNNNNNNNNNNNNNNNNNNNNNNNNNNNNNNNNNNNNNNNNNNNNNNNNNNNNNNNUUUUUGAGAAAUCAUGUGUUAUAAACACCUUGAUUUUGAAUGAUUUGAGAUGAUGAAGAAGCUUUGACCUUUCGGUCGUAAAAUGAGAUAUUUUUGAACCCGAGAUGAGAAAAGAAAUCCACUUUUAUUGAUUAUUAUGAAAAGGGUAGCAAGAUGGCUCCCGUUGUGAAUUGUGAAACUGUUUAUUAGUGGAUUUUCUUUUGAAAAGAUUUGAGCUAAGUCCGGGAGUAGUCUUUAGCACCGAGCGGGAGGUAUAGCUAUUUUGGUACUUCCCUAGAACUACGUGCCCCCGUAGGAUAUAAGCAUGAGGCUGAUUUAUAUAGUGAUCACUAGUGUUUGGAUUGAUGAUUUAUGGUCCUACUUCGAUGGCAAGGAUAGGACAGCUCUCCCCAACGUGGGUUAGACGUUGGGCUCCAUGUAGCUCACAUGGUUUAUGUCGGUUGUAAGAGACUCCCAAUGUGUGUAUGUGUAUUCUCCUAUCUAAUAUGAAAAGUCUUAUUCUUCUAUCUGAGAUGAAAACAUAUUUGUUUGAAAGACUGAGUUUGAGAAAGUUAUUGUUUCGAAAGAUUUAAUAAACAUAUAUUCCAAAGAGAAUUGUUAUGAGAUUUGAUUGCUUUGAUGAUUUGGAAUCAAGAUGGAAGUGAAUUGGGAUUUAUUAUGAUGACUCUCAUGUUUCACCCGAUAUAUUUUACUCUCUUAUGAUUAUUAUGAUUUUAAUUCGAGCUAAGUGAGUCAUUUAUAUCAGCAUGCAUAAUUUUAUAAACUGUGACGAUAUUAAGAUAUUAUUUUAUAUAUGCAUUGCACCCCCAUAUGCUAGGUACGUUUCCAUAAUACUGACCCACAUAUUCAUAUGUGGGCUACAUUUUCUCAAAAUAUAGGUACAAGGUAUAGUGUAUAUCUUCAGAUCCAGUCAGUAUCCAGCAGGUGAUGGGUCUUUUUGAUUCAAGGGCUUGAGUUAGUUAUACAGUUUACGAAGUGUUGUAUUUUCUUUAUCUAGCCGUAUUAAGUUGGGAUAGUCGGGAGUCAUAACCCAGCUACCUAUAGUCAGUACUAGUAGAGGCUUCAUAGACAGUCAGUAGAAGUUGAUAUAUUCCGUUUCAGUUUUAGUUGUAAAAGUAGAGGUGUAAUUUUGUAAAUUUAGUUUUGUAUCUAUCAUAUUUAGAAAAGAGUUAUUUUUCGCAGAUUUGUAUAGAUUUAUACUUUUUGUUCAGUUGCUUUUAAGUUAUGCCAGUAGAAGGGUUAGCUUGGGAUCACUUAUGAUCCUAAGCACCGUGUGACGUCUCGAAACACGAUUUUAGGUUGUUACAAACUCGGUAUCAGAGCACAGAGUUCAAGUGUCCUAGGGUGUCUAUGAAGUCGUGUCUAGUAGAGUCUUAUGGAAUGGUAUGGAGACAUCUGUACUUUUCUUCGAGAGGCUACAGGGCAUUUAGGAAAUGUCUCCAUUCUUUCAAGUCUAAAAUCGUGCUAUAGAAAAGUUCUCUAAGAAACUUAUUCAAAUUCUCAUCUUACUCUAGUCAGACCAUCUCUGCUUUAUUUCCAAGAUAUCAAAAAAAAUUGAGCUUAAUUCUCCAUAGAUAGAUAUGGAAUUGUAAGAGAGCUACAAAAGUAUCCUAUCAGUACUUUUGAGUUCCGAAAACUGAAGUGCUUUAUCAGGCGUGUAGAAAUCGUUCACUAAGACCGAGUCAGAUAUGCUUUUAAAUUUAUCCUCAGAAUCUAUAAUAAUAAUCUAUACUUCUCUAUCUAUGUGUUGUUCUUAAGGUAACAUAUUCGGCAAGUUCCAAUUUUCUCCCCAGAUAAUGCUCUUAUAUUUGCUGGCAGAAGUUUUAGAAGUUUCAUAAAGUGGCUUGAGAGGAGCCUUCUAGUGUGUUAUAAGCCCUUUAAAUUUAAGUUAUGCCCUCGUUCUUAUGAGUUAUUUAAUUAAGGUAGAGUAAGGUGUAUUCUUAGAUCGUUGAAUGUUGUGUGUCAAGUUUCUAUCUGUUGUAUUAUGCAAUCUUGUUAUCAUUAUGUUUGUGAAAAAUCAAAGUCUAGUGAGGCCUAUUUCAAUUCACUAGCAUAGUUUCUUUGUUAUUCAUAUAAUUUUCUUAAUCAAAACACAAAACCAAAGUCUAGUGAAGCCGUGUGAGGCCUAUUUUGAUUCACUAGCAACUUGUUAUUUAUCUUGUUGUUCUGGUGUUAGUUAAAAGUGUGGGUUUCUUUGUAGUGACAGAAGUAGUAACGUUUAGUUAAAAGUUUUGUGUUAGUUGAACUUGUGGGUUUAGAAUUGUAGUGGCAAGAAUGGUGGUAAGGGCGAUUUAUUGAAUAUGUAUAGCUGAAUUUUUGCUUAUGAUUGAAUUAGUAAUGAAGUGAUAUACCCUUGUUUGUUAUUUUAGUAAAGUUAGAGAAGGGGAUUAUUAGUUAAGGUGGAUUGUUGUUUGCUUGAAGUAUGAAAAGAGUUAUUGAUAGUAUUUGUUGUGCUAGGAAAGUAUAGGUUUUGAUGGAAGUACUUGGUGGUUGAGUAUUGUUAAUUUAGGAUUUCCUGAGAUUGCAAGAGGAAGUUUGGUUAAAAUUUAUAGAGCUAUGGAAGUAAUUUAGGUGUGAAGAUGGGUAAAUAGUAAUGAUGAGAAGAAGGAGGAUGUGUUAAUGGAUUAUGAAUAAGAUAGGCCAUAUGAUUAUGAUCAAUUGUCAUUGUGUACUAGUCUUUCUUAAUAUUGUGUUCUAUAGUUUUGAAGGGAGAAUUAUGUGUGAGAUUGGGUUGUAAAUCAUGUUUAGCUCUAGAUAUUAAGUUUGAACAGUUGAUGGUUCAGUUGUUGAUGCUAGUUAUAUGGAGGUGGUCUAGUAGGCCUGAACAGUGUAUGCAAGAGAAUAUGAUCAUGUGUUCGUAAUUAAGUAUGAUGUAGAGGUGUGCCCAAGGUGCUAUGGGGCUGCAUUGUUUUUUGAGGAUUAUUGCAUAUUAUAUGGUUAGUAGUCACGUUGAGUUGCUAGGUGGAGAAAGGCUAGUUAGAUAAUUUAUGUUGUUCUUGAUAGCUAAGUUAAGGAGUUAUGAUUGAAGAUGUUGAGUCUUUUUAGUAUGAUUUUAUUCUCAUGGUUUGGGAAAAAUAUAAGUAUAGAAGUGUGAUCUUGGUAAGCUAUGAUUAUGUUAUUAGAGAUGUAAGUAUGGUUGCAAAUGAGAGUGUAAGUCUUUGAUGAUGAUUAUUGAAGCUAGAAAGUUAAGGAUGGCAUAUGAAUGGGUUGUUCAAGAAUGAAGUCGGUAAGUUCGAAAUUAGUUUACUCUUGUGAGUUUAGCAUUUAUGUAUAGAUAUUAGAAUGAUGAAAUUAUGGCUUAAUCUCGAGGAUAUGGAGUAGACCAACAUACUUAGAAUACUAGCUUCGACCUAAGGGGGAGAUGGUUAGUGAAGAACCAAACCGAGUUUUGAGAAUUAAAUCGUGAUACAUGUCAAUAAUAAGUUAUGAUGAGAUAGUGAUCCCUUCUUANNNNNNNNNNNNNNNNNNNNNNNNNNNNNNNNNNNNNNNNNNNNNNNNNNNNNNNNNNNNNNNNNNNNNNNNNNNNNNNNNNNNNNNNNNNNNNNNNNNNNNNNNNNNNNNNNNNNNNNNNNNNNNNNNNNNNNNNNNNNNNNNNNNNNNNNNNNNNNNNNNNNNNNNNNNNNNNNNNNNNNNNNNNNNNNNNNNNNNNNNNNNNNNNNNNNNNNNNNNNNNNNNNNNNNNNNNNNNNNNNNNNNNNNNNNNNNNNNNNNNNNNNNNNNNNNNNNNNNNNNNNNNNNNNNNNNNNNNNNNNNNNNNNNNNNNNNNNNNNNNNNNNNNNNNNNNNNNNNNNNNNNNNNNNNNNNNNNNNNNNNNNNNNNNNNNNNNNNNNNNNNNNNNNNNNNNNNNNNNNNNNNNNNNNNNNNNNNNNNNNNNNNNNNNNNNNNNNNNNNNNNNNNNNNNNNNNNNNNNNNNNNNNNNNNNNNNNNNNNNNNNNNNNNNNNNNNNNNNNNNNNNNNNNNNNNNNNNNNNNNNNNNNNNNNNNNNNNNNNNNNNNNNNNNNNNNNNNNNNNNNNNNNNNNNNNNNNNNNNNNNNNNNNNNNNNNNNNNNNNNNNNNNNNNNNNNNNNNNNNNNNNNNNNNNNNNNNNNNNNNNNNNNNNNNNNNNNNNNNNNNNNNNNNNNNNNNNNNNNNNNNNNNNNNNNNNNNNNNNNNNNNNNNNNNNNNNNNNNNNNNNNNNNNNNNNNNNNNNNNNNNNNNNNNNNNNNNNNNNNNNNNNNNNNNNNNNNNNNNNNNNNNNNNNNNNNNNNNNNNNNNNNNNNNNNNNNNNNNNNNNNNNNNNNNNNNNNNNNNNNNNNNNNNNNNNNNNNNNNNNNNNNNNNNNNNNNNNNNNNNNNNNNNNNNNNNNNNNNNNNNNNNNNNNNNNNNNNNNNNNNNNNNNNNNNNNNNNNNNNNNNNNNNNNNNNNNNNNNNNNNNNNNNNNNNNNNNNNNNNNNNNNNNNNNNNNNNNNNNNNNNNNNNNNNNNNNNNNNNNNNNNNNNNNNNNNNNNNNNNNNNNNNNNNNNNNNNNNNNNNNNNNNNNNNNNNNNNNNNNNNNNNNNNNNNNNNNNNNNNNNNNNNNNNNNNNNNNNNNNNNNNNNNNNNNNNNNNNNNNNNNNNNNNNNNNNNNNNNNNNNNNNNNNNNCAUAUAGCCUGUAAUCUAGUUUAGCAAGCAAGGAGAUAAUCUCCUAUAGAUUCUUAAUUUUCCAGCUAGUCUUACUAUCCGCAGUCUUAUAUGUAUGUACAUUCCAAGAGGCAAUGUGUUUGUAUCCAAUUAAAUUAUGAAUUCAGCUCAGUUCAUACAUCAGUUUCAGUUUCAAAUAUUAAGUCAUGAUUCAGUUCGUAAAUAUCUUGUGUAGUAUUACAGUCUCUUCCUAGUAUUUUCAUUAAAUUAUUAUCAUUUGGGGAUGAAUGAUCCGAAGAGGGGGAUGUUGUAAUACCCCGAGUUUUCAUGUCAUAAACCUCCCAUCCUUUCUCAUGAGAUCAGAUCCAGUGCAAAACAAUGGUUACUUAUAAGUUGGCACUCUCAUUUCAAUCUUAGCCAUAUAGUUAUUUUUCUAGAGGAUUCAUGCACUUGCAGACCAGUUCAGUAGCUCAUUAUUCUUGAGAUCCAGUGAUUCAGUUCUAUCAAUUACACAUGAUAUCUUGAAGACUAAGAUUCCUCUGUGUUUCAGGUUAAUUAUCCACAUUCGAGGACGAAUGUUCCCAAGGGGGAGAUAAUGUAAUACCCCGUAUUUUUGUGCUAGAAUUCUAACCAUCGUUCUUGCGCGUCUAAUCUCUAAUCCAAGUGAUUCUCACAUGAAUACAAGUUUCAUGAUCAUUAUCCUAGUCUAUUGGGUAGUUUAGAGGUGGAAAAUGUUUAUAGCAAUGAUCUAGAACAAGGUUGAGCUAAGACCAAUUGAUUCAUCCAAAUUUUGACAUUCGAUUCUACAAGGGUCAACUUCAAAUGUGAAUAUCUCUUAAUAUACAUGGAAUUUUUCAUCUCAAGACCUAUCAAAUUGUAGAUAAUUGAAUUAUAUUUCCAACGAUAUCAAGUUCGCAAAAAUCCGAUACUCGAGAGAAGAGUUAUGCCCAUUUUUGUGAGAGGCAGUAAGGGUGUACGAUGGGCAAUGCGCCGCCCAAUUAAAUGUGUGCGAUUGGGAGUGCGAGGCACACUUAAAAGUUUGCCAUUUUCAUGAGAGGCAGUAAGGGUGUGCGAUGGGAAAUGCACCACCCAAUCAAAUGUAUGCGAUUGGGAGUGCGAGGCAUACUUAAAUGUCUGCCAUAAGGUGUGUGACGAACACCUUAAGGUUUGCCAUGGGUUGUGCGCCGAAUACCUUACUUCCAAGUGCCAAAAACACUCCUAUAUAUGUAUAUAACAUGGGAUUAAACUCCCAUAACACCAAAAUAAGUUUACUUUCUCUCAAAAUCACCAAGAACAUUCAUUAGGAUCUCAAGAUUCAACCAUGAGUUUUCAAUAAUUCUUCGAGAUUUGGAAUCUCCAUUUCGAGGGCUACAAGAAACACUCAUUAUUUUCACGAAUAGAUUCUCAAGGUCAAGAGUUCAUUCAAAGCUUCAAGUUUAAGGUAUGUGAGGUUUUUCAACAAGAACACCCUUUCGUUCUUAUGCCCAAAAUUUAUAUUACUUUACAAUGAUUUUACAUGCUCUACUUAUGAAUUUGAGAUGGAAAUUUGAAAUAAAUAUUCUUGUUGAAGAAGUUAUAAUAUUUUUGAUGCUUUGAAGAUGAACUUCAUGAGCGUUGAUGUGAAUAUUCAUGAUUAAAGAUAGAUUUUUAGAUUUUCGUAUGAAUCAUACAUGUUUAUGUUUAUGAUGUAAAGCUUGAAUCUUGAUAAGUUUUAAUGUGAUAUUGAGACAUGAGUUUUGAAAUCUAUUUGAGAUUGUUGUUUUUGAGAAAUAAUGUGUUAUAAACACCUUGAUUUUGAAUGAUUUAAGAUGAUGAAGAAGCUUUGACCUUUCGGUCGUAAAAUGGGAUGUUUUUGAACCCGAGAUGAGAAAACAAAUACACUUUUAUUGAUUAUUAUGAAAAGGGUAGCAAGAUGGCUCCCGUUGUGAAUUGUGAAACUGUUUAUUAGUGGAUUUUCUUUUGAAAAGAUUUGAGCUAAGUCCGGGAGUAGUCUUUAGCACCGAGCGGGAGGUAUAGCUAUUUUGGUACUUCCCUAGAACUACGUGCCCCCGUAGGAUAUAAGCAUGAGGCUGAUUUAUAUAGUGAUCACUAGUGUUUGGAUUGAUGAUUUAUGGUCCUACUUCGAUGGCAAGGAUAGGACAGCUCUCCCCAACGUGGGUUAGACGUUGGGCUCCAUGUAGCUCACAUGGUUUAUGUCGGUUGUAAGAGACUCCCAAUGUGUGUGUGUGUAUUCUCCUAUCGAAUAUAAAAAGUCUUAUUCUUCUAUCUGAGAUGAAAAUAUAUUUAUUUGAAAGACUGAGUUUGAGAAAGUCAUUGUUUUCGAAAGAUUUAAUGAACAUAUAUUCCAAAGAGAAUUGUUAUGAGAUUUGAUUGCUUUGAUGAUUUGGAAUCGAGAUAGAAGUGAAUUGAGAUUUAUUAUGAUGACUCACAUGUUUCACCCAAUAUAUUUUACUCUCUUAUGAUUAUGAUGAUUUUAAUUCGAGAUAGUGAGUCACUUAUAUCAGCAUGCAUAAUUUUAUAAACUGUGAUGAUAUUAAGAUAUUAUUUUAUAUAUGCAUUGCACCCCCAUAUGCUCGGUACGUUUCCAUGGUACUGACCCACAUAUUCGUAUGUGGGCUACAUUUUCUCGGAAUGUAGGUAAAAGGUAUAGUUUACAUCUUCAGAUCCAGUCAGUUCGUGCCAUCCAGUCAGCAGGUGAUGAGUCCUUUUGAUUUAAGGGCCUGAGUUAGUUAUACAGUUCGAGAAGUGUUGUAUUUUCUUUAUCCAUCCAUAUUGAGUUGGGAUAGUCGGAAGUCAUGACCCAGCUACCUAUAGUCAGUACUAGUAGAGGCUUCAUAGAUAGUCAGUAGAAGUUGAUAUAUUCCAUUUCAGUUUUGAUUGUAAAAGUAAGUUGUAAUCUUGUAAAUUUAGUUUUGUAUCUAUCAUAUUUAGAAAAGAGUUAUUUUCCACAGAUUUGUAUAGAUUUAUACUUUUUGUUCAGUUACUCAUGAGUUAUGCCAGUAGAAGGGUUAGCUUGGGGUCACUUAUGAUCCUAAGCACCGUGUGACGUCUCGGAACCCAAUUUCGGGGCGUUACAUAUAAUCCUUAGGUAUUUGCAUGAUUUUUGACAACAAAAACACUCUUCUUCUAUACAAAAACUCUGUGUGAUCAUUAAGCUGUUGAGUGAGUUCGAAGAAUCCAACAAUUUGGGGCACCGCUAUUAUUCAGAUUGAAGACCAUUUUAUUCUAGGAGAAAGAUUCCAUAACUUCGGGUACAGUGAGGGGAAUUAUUCCUUAAGGACACUCUGUGAAGUCGGGGGACUUGGCCUUAAAAUUUUGUUUCAUCUUAUUUCUAAAAGUUAACAUACUUCCUGGAUAGAUUAUUUAUAAUAUUGUGUUGAAGGUGUUUAGGAACUUAAUAAGUAUUCUAGUCCUAGACUUGAACUUUUGUUGAAGUUAUUGGUGCAUGUAUAUAUAGAUUCUUGUACCCGAAAAUGUUGUAAAUAACAAUCUUAAGUAAUAACCAUUUCGGAAUCUGUAUAGCUUGUUUUUAGAGAUUAAAGCUUUAAGCUUUCUACUCUGUUUGAACUUAACUAGUGAUUUGAAGACAUAAAAUCUUCAUCACAAGUUAAAUAUCACCCGGUUGACGAUUGAAAGUCAUAAAAACUUCAUCAUUAAACUAGAAACAAGAAGUGUUUAAAUUUGCUGCAAUUUUGUAAUAAGUAUUUCGAUAUACUAAAGGUACUGUCUUGUUGUGAUAGAAAAAUGACUAACGAUAGUCAAGUACAAGAGGCUGGAAUGAAUGUGGGGGAAACUAGUAUUUCCACAACAUAUCACACAAAUGCUCCGCCGCCGAUGGUACCAACAGAGAAACUCAGAAAGUUUGCGGGUAUUGGCUUUUAGAGAUAGCAGCAGAAAAUGUUCUUCUACCUCACCAGUCUCUUUCUUCAAAGGUUCACGGUUGAGAAAGCUCUGAAGGUGCCCUAGGGAACCUCUAAAAAAGAAUACUUUGUGAUUGUGGAGGCUUGGAAACACUCAGAUUUCCUUUGCUGGAAUUAUAUCUUGAGUGGUCUCCAAGAUGACCUUUACAAUAUGUACAGUGGAACAAAGACAUCGAAAUAUUUAUGGGGAGUGCUAGAACGGAAGUACAAGAUGGAGGAUGUAGGAACUAAAAAGUUCUUUGUUGCAAGAUUCCUAGAGUAUAAAAUGGUAGACAACAAGUCUGUUGUUUCUUAAAAAAUAGAUGAUCUAUGUGCUAUGCAUUCCAAAUGCAACAAUGGUGGGAAAUCCUCAUAAAUGGUGGAUGGAUUUUUGUACCACCCGCUAUGUUUGUGCUAACAAGGAGUUGUUUUGUACGUUUUCUCCAACUCAAGUAGAAGAAAAGAUCUACAUGGCAAACUCCGCUGCUGCAAAAGUAGAAGGAACAGGAAAAGUGUGCUUGAAGAUGACUUCCGGCAAAGUGUUGACACUUAACAAUAUUUUGUAUGUUCCGAAGUUACGGAAGAACUUGAUUUCAGUUUCACUUCUAGACAAUAACGGAUUCAAAUGUGUAUUUAUUUUUGAAAAAAAUGUACUUAGUAAAGGAGAAGUGUAUCUAGAAAAAGGCCACCUCAAUGAGGGCCCAUUCAAAAUAAAUGUAAUGAAUAUUGAAAUCAAUAAAAGUUUAAUUUCUUCUUACUUUCUUGAGUCUUACGAUUUAUGGCACGAAAAUUUAGGCCAUGUUAAUUACAAAACAUUACGAAAACUGAUUAACUUAGAAGUUUUGCCAAACUUUGAGUGCAAUAAAUCAAAGUGUCAAAACGUGUGUGGAAUCAAAGUAUUCAAAGCAUCCUUAUAAGUCCGUUGAAAGGAAUUCCAAUUCCUUAGACUUAAUACACACGAACAUUUGUGAUAUGAAAUCAACACCAUCACAUGGUGGAAAAAAGUAUUUCAUAACUUUUAACAAUGAUUGCACAAGAUAUUGUUAUGUCUAUUUGCUAAAUAGUAAGGAUGAAGCAAUAGAUGCGUUUAGGCAAUACAAAACUGAAGUUGAAAAUUAGUUAGAGAAAAAGAUAAAAAUGAUAAGAAGUGAUAGGGACGGAGAAUAUGAAUCUCCCUUCGCUGAAAUAUGUGUAGAGAAAGGAAUUGUCUAUCAAACUACAACCCCGUAUUCACCUCCAUCUAAUGGAAUUGCAGAAAGAAAAAAUCAAACUUUGAAGAAAAUGAUGAAUGUCUUACUUUUAAGUUCAGGUUUACCACAAAGCUUGUGGGGGAGAGGCUAUCCUUACAGCCAACCGUAUACUCAAUAGAGUUUCCCAUAGUAAGACACAAUCCAUUCCUUAUGAAAAAUAGAAAGGAAGGAAACCCAACUUGAAAUAUUUCAAAGUGUGGGGGUGUCUAGCAACGAUCCAAGUUCCUAUGCCUAAAAAGGUUAAGAUAGGACCUAAGACGGUGGAAUGUGUGUUCAUAAGAUAUGCUAAAAGUAGUAAAGCAUGUCAGUUUUUGGUUCAUAAAUUCGAACAUCCAGAUAUUAAUGAAAAUAUGGUAAUUGAAUCAGAUAAUGCUGAAUUCUUUGAAAAUAUUUACCCGUAUCAAACAAAUAUGAACAAUCUAGUGGGGGUCUAAACAAUCCCGAGAUGAACCAAGUGAGAAUGUACAUAAUGAUGAGAAUCCAAGAUGCAAGACACAUCAAAGAACGUCAACUUCGUUUGGAUCAAAUUUUGUAAUAUUUCUCUUAGAAGAUAAGCCUCAAAUAUUUAAGAAAGCGAUGCCAUCAUCGGACUCAUCUUUUUGGAAAGAGGCAAAAGAUAGUGAGAUUGAUUCAAUCUUAAGCAACCAUACAUGGGAUUUCGUUGAUCUUCCUCCAGGAAAUAAACCUUUCAGUUCUAAAUGGAUCUUCAAAAGGAAAAUGAAAGCUGAUGGUACUAUUGAUAAGUAUAAGGAAAAACUUAUUGUAAAAGGCUUCAAACAAAAGGAAGGCCUUGAUUACUUUAAUACAUACUCUCCAGUAAUGAGAAUAAUGUCAAUUCGGAUGUUAAUUUCCUUGGAGGCAGUAUAUGGUCUUGAAAUCCAUCAAAUGGAUGUGAAAACAGUAUUCCUAAAUGAAGAAUUGGAGGAAGAAAUCUACAUGGAACAACCUAAGGGUUUUGUGGUUCCAGGAAAGAAAAAUGAGGUGUGUAAACUUAUUAUGUCACUUUAUGGACCAAACAAGCACCUAAAUAAUGGCAUGAAAGUUUGAUUAAACCAUGUUGGCAAACGGGUUAUAGAUAAAUGAAUGUGAUAAAUGUGUUUACAUUAAAGACACUCCAAAUUACCAAGUCAUUGUGUGUUUGUAUGUGGAUGAUAUGUUGAUCAUCAGUAGAGACAUUUCGAACAUAAAUGAAAUAAAAUAAAUACUUGAGAGCAAGUUUGAUAUGAAAGACCUUGGAGUUGUGGAUGUGAUCUUAGGAAUAAGAAUCCAUAGAACUCCAUAAGGGUUGACAUUGUCACAGUCUCAUUAUAUCAAAAAGGUACUUGACAAAUUCAAGUAUAUGGAAUUCGGUAUUGCCAAAACUCCAUUGGACGUGAGCUUUACACUUCAAAAGAAUGAAGGUGAAAAUGACUCACAAUUGGAGUACGCAAGAAUAUUGGGAUGUUUAAUGUAUAUAAUGAGCUGUACACAACUAGACAUAGUAUGCGCUAUAAGUAAAUUGAGUCGGUACAUGAGUAAUCCUAAUAAAACUUAUUGGAUGGCAAUGAAAAGAGUUUUGGGGUAUCUUAAAUACACUCAAGACUAUGCUUUUCAUAAUAAUAAAUAUCCAGCGAUACUUGAAGGAUAUAGUGAUGCAAAUUAGAUCACCGGAUCGAACGAAGUAAAAUCCACGAGUGGAUAUGUAUUUACUAUCGAUGGAGGAGGGGUCUCUUAGAAAUCAUCCAUACAGACUUGUAUUGCUUGCUCUACAAUGGAAUUUGAAUUUAUCGAGUUAGAUAAAGCUAGUGAAGAAGCAGCAUGACUCCAAAAUUUCUUGGAAGAUAUUCUUUAUUGGCCCAAACCAGUGGCACCAGUAUGUAUACGCUGUGAUAGCCAAGCAGCAAUAGGUAGGGCAGGGAGCAUGAUGUACAAUGAUAAAUCUCGUUACAUAAGAUGAAUACAUAAUACCGUUAGAGAACUUUUCUCUAGUGGAAUUAUCACUGUUGAUUAUGUAAAGUCAAAGGGUAAUAUGUCGAAUCUACUUACAAAAGGCCUAUCUAGAGAAGGAGUUGAGAGGAUAUCCAAGGGAAUGGGUUUAAGUUCUAGGACAAGUCAGCAUGGCGGUAACUCUACCUAGCAGACUGGAGAUUCCAAGAGCUAGGUUUAAAGAGAUCAAACAAAGUUGUGACUAACGGGUUCAACAUUGUCAAUACCCAGCCCAUUCUCAUGAUGUAGACAAUGUUUAGUAAACAAGGAUAAGACUUAAAGUGAAAAGUCUUUUAAUGAUUAUCUAAAUUUGACAGAUUUAACGGUUAUCAAAAUUUGGUAGAUUCAACCAAAUAGUUUAAACUAUAGGAUUGAACGUUUAGAAAUCACCUAUGUGAGGGCAAAGUGGAAGCCGUUUCAAGGAGAAUGUUAGUAAAGGCCUAUUCUCUAAGCGCUUAUGAAACCAGAACAUGUUCAUGGUUGAAAAGAAUAAAAUUGUGAGAACCAUAAAUAGUAAAAAAGCUGGUUGUGUGACAUGUGUUGUCUAGGUGUACAUUAAAGCUUGAUGGUUCAAAGAUAUCAAAUGUACCGAUGGAUCGAGUGCAUCCGAUGCAUGUUCAAUACGGAAAGUUCAAAGGAAAACCUACUUAUCUAGAUGGAAUUAGCCUUUGCUAAAUGAUCACAUGCUUGUCCAUAAAUUUAUUUAAAAGAUAGUCAUUCCCCAUUCAUAUGGGGGAUUAUUGGGUUCAAGGUGUAUAUGUGAAUGGAAAAUCAAGGAAAAAUGAUGGAGGAAAGAGAGACACCAAUUUAGAAAGUGUACUUUCAAAUUGGAAAGUUUACUCUUUUUAAAGGAAAGUUCUCUGAUUCUCCCACAUUAGUGGGAGAAAAGAAAUUGUAAGUGUUUAUAAUAAGAAACACUAACUCCACAUGGAUAGUGAGGCAAGAACAAGGUGGUGCCUCGCACCGUCAUCGUCGCUCGCUUGGAUCGGGUUUGGAUUUGGAUUUGGAUUUGGAUUUUUCAAAUGAUCGAUCAAUGAGAUCUAAUUGUUUAGAUAAAAUCAUUUGAAACUUGUUUACAAUUGAAAUUUUAAAUCCAAAAUCUGAUAAUAUUAUUUUUCUCCAAGUGCGGGCAUAUUUUUGACGCCAUGCAGAAGCAUACGUAAUGCAUCACGAAGGGAUGCGACCCUUCAAGGGAAAAGGCACACUGUUUCACGCUGUAGGGUGACCUACGGGCUCAGCCAAACAUCACCUACGGCUGUUGAGCAGGCGCAUGUCCAGCACAGACUAGGCGUAGGGACGUUACUGCUGCUAAAAAGAUGCCUUUCUACUGAACCAAUACAUCCUUUCUAAAAGGAUACAUUGAAGGCUGUAAAUACCUGAUAUAAUCCUUGGGUAUUUGCAUGAUUUUUGACAGCAAAAAUACUCUUUUUCUAUAUAAAAACUCUGUGUGAUCAUUAAACUGUUGAGUGAGUUUGAAGAAUCCAACAAUUUGAGGUACCACUAUUAUUCGGAUUAAAGGCCAUUUUAUCCUGGGAGAAAAUUCCAUAACCUCGGGUACAGUAAGGGGAGUUAUUCCUUAAGGACACUCCGUGAAGUCGGGGGACUUGGACUUAAAAUUUUGUUUCAUCUCAUUUCUAAAAGUUAACAUACUUCUUGGAUAGAUUAUUUAUAAUCUUGUGUUGAAGGUUUUAAGGAACUUUAGAAGUGUUCUAGUCCUAGACUUGAACUUGUAUUGAAGUUAUUGGUGCAUGUAUAUACAGAUUUUUGUACCCGAAAACGUUGUAAAUAACAAAACUAUCCAGUCAAAGGAGGGGACCAUAAAAUGGGGAAAGAGAUUUUUUAGGCUGAUAAGACAAUGCUGAGUAGUAUCCAUAAAAGAGAGAUUGAGACCCACAUCUAACUAGAAUUUUUUUAACACCGAGUGAAUAUAUGAGAAAUUUUCUAGGUUCUAAUUGACAAAUCGGACAGUAUGAAUCCCGAAGAAUACCUAUGAAGCUAUGAUAAUCAGAAGUAGGGAGCCUACCGUGCGAACAAAUCCAAAGAAAGUGUUUAAUAUUUUCAUAAGUCUUAAGUUUCCAGAUCCAAUAGAAGCUGUACUUUGAAAUGGAAGGAUCACAAAGCAUGGUAUAGGCCGAUUUAAUCAAAAAUAGGUUCUUGCUAUUAUAAGCCCAAUAGUGUUUAUCCCAAUUGCCAAUGUGAGGGUUCGGAUGAAUUGUAUUAGCCCUAGCAAUGAAGGC